rnacentral:rRNA from 1 species
CCCUUAGAUGUUCGGGGCCGCACGCGCGCUACACUGAAAGAAUCAGCUGGUAAGUUGCUCCUGGCUUGGAAACGUCGGGCAACCCGUUGAACCUCCUUCGUGCUUGGGAUUGGGGCUUGCAAUUAUUCCCCAUGAACGAGGAAUUCCCAGUAGGCGCGAGUCAUCAGCUCGCGUCGAUUACGUCCCUGCCCUUUGUACACACCGCCCGUCGCACCUACCGAUUGAAUGUUUCGGUGAAGAUUCCGGAUAGGACUUUUUUGAUUUAUUUCAAUUUUGUCUUAAAAGCUAUCUAAACCUCAACAUUUAGAGGAAGGUGAAGUCGUAACA